rnacentral:rRNA from 2 species
UGUUGCCCUUAAAAUCCAGCAAGUCGAACGAGUUCUCGUUGAUGAUCGGUGCUUGCACCGAGAUUCAACAUGGAACGAGUGGCGGACGGGUGAGUAACACGUGGGUAACCUGCCCUUAAGUGGGGGAUAACAUUUGGAAACAGAUGCUAAUACCGCAUAGAUCCAAGAACCGCAUGGUUCUUGGCUGAAAGAUGGCGUAAGCUAUCGCUUUUGGAUGGACCCGCGGCGUAUUAGCUAGUUGGUGAGGUAAUGGCUCACCAAGGCGAUGAUACGUAGCCGAACUGAGAGGUUGAUCGGCCACAUUGGGACUGAGACACGGCCCAAACUCCUACGGGAGGCAGCAGUAGGGAAUCUUCCACAAUGGACGCAAGUCUGAUGGAGCAACGCCGCGUGAGUGAAGAAGGCUUUCGGGUCGUAAAACUCUGUUGUUGGAGAAGAAUGGUCGGCAGAGUAACUGUUGUCGGCGUGACGGUAUCCAACCAGAAAGCCACGGCUAACUACGUGCCAGCAGCCGCGGUAAUACGUAGGUGGCAAGCGUUAUCCGGAUUUAUUGGGCGUAAAGCGAGCGCAGGCGGUUUUUUAAGUCUGAUGUGAAAGCCCUCGGCUUAACCGAGGAAGCGCAUCGGAAACUGGGAAACUUGAGUGCAGAAGAGGACAGUGGAACUCCAUGUGUAGCGGUGAAAUGCGUAGAUAUAUGGAAGAACACCAGUGGCGAAGGCGGCUGUCUGGUCUGUAACUGACGCUGAGGCUCGAAAGCAUGGGUAGCGAACAGGAUUAGAUACCCUG